CCGACGUUGUUCGGCACUAUUAGGGCGUAAAGAGCUCGUAGGCGGCGUGUCGCGUCUGCUGUGAAAGACCGGGGCUUAACUCCGGUUCUGCAGUGGAUACGGGCAUGCUAGAGGUAGGUAGGGGAGACUGGAAUUCCUGGUGUAGCGGUGAAAUGCGCAGAUAUCAGGAGGAACACCGGUGGCGAAGGCGGGUCUCUGGGCCUUACCUGACGCUGAGGAGCGAAAGCAUGGGGAGCGAACAGGAUUAGAUACCCUGGUAGUCCAUGCCGUAAACGUUGGGCGCUAGGUGUGGGGACUUUCCACGGUUUCCGCGCCGUAGCUAACGCAUUAAGCGCCCCGCCUGGGGAGUACGGCCGCAAGGCUAAAACUCAAAGGAAUUGACGGGGGCCCGCACAAGCGGCGGAGCAUGUUGCUUAAUUCGACGCAACGCGAAGAACCUUACCAAGGUUUGACAUCACCCGUGGACCUGUAGAGAUACAGGGUCAUUUAGUUGGUGGGUGACAGGUGGUGCAUGGCUGUCGUCAGCUCGUGUCGUGAGAUGUUGGGUUAAGUCCCGCAACGAGCGCAACCCUUGUUCCAUGUUGCCAGCACGUAAUGGUGGGGACUCAUGGGAGACUGCCGGGGUCAACUCGGAGGAAGGUGGGGACGACGUCAAGUCAUCAUGCCCCUUAUGUCUUGGGCUGCAAACAUGCUACAAUGGCCGGUACAAUGGGCGUGCGAUACCGUAAGGUGGAGCGAAUCCCUUAAAGCCGGUCUCAGUUCGGAUUGGGGUCUGCAACUCGACCCCAUGAAGGUGGAGUCGCUAGUAAUCGCGGAUCAGCAACGCCGCGGUGGAAUACCUUUCCCGGGGCCUUGUACACACCGCCCCGUCACGUCAUGAAAGUCGGCAACACCCGAAACUUGCGGCCUAACCCUUCGGGGAGGGAGUGAAUGAAAGUGGGGCUGGCGAUUGGAC
rnacentral:rRNA from 1 species